rnacentral:rRNA from 1 species
AGUGAACGCUGGCGGUAGGCCUAACACAUGCAAGUCGAACGGCAGCACAGUAAGAGCUUGCUCUUACGGGUGGCGAGUGGCGGACGGGUGAGGAAUACAUCGGAAUCUACUUUUUCGUGGGGGAUAACGUAGGGAAACUUACGCUAAUACCGCAUACGACCUACGGGUGAAAGCAGGGGAUCUUCGGACCUUGCGCGAUUGAAUGAGCCGAUGUCGGAUUAGCUAGUUGGCGAGGUAAAGGCCCACCAAGGCGACGAUACGUAGCUGGUCUGAGAGGAUGAUCAGCCACACUGGAACUGAGACACGGUCCAGACUCCUACGGGAGGCAGCAGUGGGGAAUAUUGGACAAUGGGCGCAAGCCUGAUCCAGCCAUACCGCGUGGGUGAAGAAGGCCUUCGGGUUGUAAAGCCCUUUUGUUGGGAAAGAAAAGCAGCAGGUUAAUACCCCGCUGUUCUGACGGUACCCAAAGAAUAAGCACCGGCUAACUUCGUG